AGGGAGACAAACAACGAUUUUGAUGUCUGAGUAUUUUAUUCUUAGGCCAGAAUCCUGUCACCUUAGGUCGAUCGGUACCUCAACUUUGAAGCUAAGAGUUCCAGCAAUGGAUGACUGCUUAGUGAAGAUUUUUAGUUCCUAAACUUUGUCUAGUUCACAACCCAUUAGGGAUGAGACUCCUGGGCCAUUAGCUCAGGUGGUUAGAGCGCACCCCUGAUAAGGGUGAGGUCCCUGGUUCAAGUCCAGGAUGGCCCAUUCGGUGUAGGGGGUUUAGCUCAGUUGGUAGAGCGCCUGCUUUGCAAGCAGGAUGUCAGGAGUUCGAGUCUCCUAACCUCCACUGACUGCAAUGAAUCCCCAUCUCCAAAACCUGGAGUAUGAACUCGUAUGGAUUGUGAUUUAGAUGUGUCCGCUAGAUGAUCCUAGCUUCUUGUCAUUUUAAGGCAUGGAAAUGGUUCCAUGAUUUGAUUGAUAGGAUGCUGGGCUCGAUGCAAUGGAUUGAGAAAUCAAUGCAUUGUUUUGAUGUCUAGCCGAACCUUGACAACUGCAUAGUUUAAGUCUGGAAAGAAUAAAGCAUCUCAUAGAUGCAUCAUUCUUGAGUGUUGAUUCACUUUGGAAUGAUGUUAAUUCUAAGAGCAAGAGCCGAGACUCCAGCAUGUUCUUUCAAAUGUGUCGAGCAUUUGAGAGUUUGAUUUUAAUUUCUAAUUUUAGAAUCUAAUUUUAGAAGUUAGAAGAAUCUGUUUCAACGACAGCAAGCGUGUUGGAGAUACAUU
rnacentral:tRNA from 1 species